rnacentral:rRNA from 1 species
GAAUGACGGGACCGCACAAGCGGUGGAUGAUGUGGUUUAAUUCGAUGCAACGCGAAAACUUACCCACCUUUGACAUGUACGGAAGCCUUUAGAGAUAGAGGCGUGCUCGAAAGAGAGCCGUAACACAGGGUGCUGCAUGGCUGUCGUCAGCUCGUGUCGUGAGAUGUUGGGUUAAGUCCCGCAACGAGCGCAACCCUUGUCAUUAGUUGCUACAUUCAGUUGGGCACUCUAAUGAGACUGCCGGUGACAAACCGGAGGAAGGUGGGGAUGACGUCAGGUCCUCAUGGCCCUUAUGGGUAGGGCUACACACGUCAUACAAUGGCCGGUACAGAGGGCUGCCAACCCGCGAGGGGGAGCCAAUCCCAGAAAACCGGUCGUAGUCCGGAUCGUAGUCUGCAACUCGACUGCGUGAAGUCGGAAUCGCUAGUAAUCGCGGAUCAGCUUGCCGCGGUGAAUACGUUCCCGGGUCUU